rnacentral:rRNA from 1 species
UACAGAGGUCUCAAGCGUUGUUCGGAUUCAUUGGGCGUAAAGGGUGCGUAGGCGGCGCGGUAAGUCGGGUGUGAAAUCUCGGAGCUUAACUCCGAAACUGCAUUCGAUACUGCCGUGCUUGAGGACUGGAGAGGAGACUGGAAUUUACGGUGUAGCGGUGAAAUGCGUAGAUAAUCGUAAGGAAGACCAGUGGCGAAGGCGGGUCUCUGGACAGUAACUGACGCUGAGGAGCGAAAGCGUGGGGGAGCGAACAGG